ensembl:lncRNA
CUAAAGGAAAGGCCCAAGGCUGCAGGCCUGAGAUUAGUUUGGCAGCAGCUCCAAAGAGCAGCCCUUCAAUCGCAGGGAUUGAGCCCUUAAAAGUCCUGGCUGCCUCCCACCAGCCCUGCUAAUGGGGCUGAGCUGUUGGAGCCCUGACCUCUGUCUACCCGCCUGAUGAUCUGCUGCUCUGAAUCUCACUUCCGCAGCACCCAGGAGGACCAGAGACUCGGUCUAGCUUAUGUGCUCCAUGGCCUUGCAUGUUUUCAGCACCUACUGUGCGCAGCAUCGCCGCGCCUCCCCAUCCCCCUGCCUGCUGUUACUCUCACCAGCGCGCCCAGUCACGGGCUAAUUAGUGGUUAAUUAGUCAUAGGCUAAUCAGUGGUUAGGGCUACAGUAUGUAUGCAUGGUGGGGUGCAGACAGUGGGGUGGCCGGCGGGUGACGGUGCGGGUGGAAGAGAACAGGAGAGACGAGGCCGUGGUCUGACCUUCCUCCAAAAAGCCCGGAAUCCCUGAGUCUGUCUGUGGCAGCUGUGGAACAGAGGGAGCAUGGGAUCUGAACCGUGCCGCCAUCUGGGAGAGCACACACACAGCCAAACCCCGGAAGGAAACUCGAGCUGAAAUAUACCGUUUGCUAAGGAGCCGGUCCGGGCACUGGUUUCUCUGCGUUCUGAAUUUCUAGAAAGGGAAAACUCUCCCUUGCCAGGCGACGUCUACCACCCCUUCCCACUGCGGCCCCUCCAGUCCGCACCCCUUCGCCUCCUAGACCCCCUGUGAGGACCCUCAGCAAACUUCCGCAAGGCCUGACGAGCCCUGGGUGCGGGGUGGUGUGGACGCAGAUCUUUCGGGCCGAGGGGAAGGCUGCGGGGGUGUGGGCGUGGAGGUGCCAGGAGCGCGCAGCCUCCGCCUGCCCGGCUGUCUCCGCGGACCCCACCGAGGGUGGGAGAGAAGCGCUGGGAAAAGGAAGGGGAGAAGGAGCCCGAGCGGGAGGCGAGCGAGCGGUUCUUUCGCUCCUCCCAAAGAGCGGGGCGGCUCCGCUGUGCUCCUGACAACCCGGCCGCCGCCGCCCUGCUACCGCUCCCCGGGACCCGUCGGCGCUGACACUGGUGACCCGCUGCGGGGGCGCGGGGCGCGCUGGACACUGGCCGCCGGCUCUCGGGCCCGCUCCUGUCGCAGGCUUCCGCUGCUUCCACGACCCUCCCUCAGCCGCGAGAAGAGGUGCUCUGGCGACCUCGGGCCUUCCCUGGGGGUCUGCGCCGGCCCCUACCCCAACCCGCCCAGGGAAGAGGCGCGAAGGGGUGGGCCGCGAUGCGGAGGCGGGAAACUCAGGCGAGAUGCGAGGCUGGAGAACACGACGCAUGGAGGCGCGGGGUGGACCCCCAGUGUACUCCAGGAGCCGGCAGGAGCUAAACCCCAGCCUGCAACCCAGGUAUCCCUGCGGACCAUGAGGUGCCACCCGUCCCUGGUCGCAGAAAAGACCAAGAACCUCAAAAGGGAAGGCCCAGCUCCCAUACCUGCACCUCCCAUGCCAGGCACCCAGCGUGCUCAACCGAGCCCCAAGACGCAGGUUAACCCUGUCCCAGCUUCUCCCCUUGGCUUUGGACAAGCCUCUCUUCUCUUCCCCAAUGAGAACCACAGCUCACAUUCGGAGGGCUUGCCUCCUUGGUGCUCAGAGCUCUCAACAUGGGUGAUCCUCUGCCAGGGGUCCUUAGCUACCCCCUUUGGACAAGGAUGGACAGCUGUUUUCUCAAGCUUGCCUGGAGCACAGCUUCUAAACAGACGAGCUCUCCCCACGUUCCCGGCAGAUUGUCUGGCCUAAGCUCCUUUGAGGAAAUAAAGAUGACCAUAGCCAAGCUGCCCUGCUCUGCAGCAAGGACCCUGGGCGUCCCAUCCUCAACUCCCCUGCCUUGUGCUAGAGAUCAGCAUUUCCAUCCAGCAACUCCUCUGCCCCAGACUUACCAGACACUCCAGUCCACACUGACUCUCCUACCUGCCAGAACUGUGCAUUUAAAAUCCCAUACUUGCUUGAGUCUGGCUUUGUUCUCCAGUAGUUUCAAAUGCCUAUGUUUGACUCCCCCGACCAGCCACACAGAGAUAAGGUCAUCACAAGCAGCAACUACUGCUUU